UAGGGAAUUUUUCACAAUGAGCGAAAGCUUGAUGGAGCAAUGCCGCGUGAACGAUGAAGGUCUUUAAGAUUGUAAAGUUCUUUUAUUUGGGAAGAAUGACUUUAGCAGGUAAUGGCUAGAGUUUGACUGUACCAUUUUGAAUAAGUGACGACUAACUAUGUGCCAGCAGUCGCGGUAAUACAUAGGUCGCAAGCGUUAUCCGGAUUUAUUGGGCGUAAAGCAAGCGCAGGCGGAUUGAAAAGUCUGGUGUUAAAGGCAGCUGCUUAACAGUUGUAUGCAUUGGAAACUAUUAAUCUAGAGUGUGGUAGGGAGUUUUGGAAUUUCAUGUGGAGCGGUGAAAUGCGUAGAUAUAUGAAGGAACACCAGUGGCGAAGGCGAAAACUUAGGCCAUUACUGACGCUUAGGCUUGAAAGUGUGGGGAGCAAAUAGGGUUAGAUACCCUAGUAGUCCACACCGUAAACGAUAGAUACUAGCUGUCGGGGCGAUCCCCUCGGUAGUGAAGUUAACACAUUAAGUAUCUCGCCUGGGUAGUACAUUCGCAAGAAUG
rnacentral:rRNA from 1 species